rnacentral:rRNA from 1 species
GGUUAAGCGACUAAGCGUACACGGUGGAUGCCCUGGCAGUCAGAGGCGAUGAAGGGCGUGCUAAUCUGCGAUAAGCGCCGGUAAGGUGAUAUGAACCGUUAUAACCGGCGAUACCCGAAUGGGGAAACCCAGUGUGACUCGUCACACUAUCAUUAACUGAAUCCAUAGGUUAAUGAGGCGAACCGGGGGAACUGAAACAUCUAAGUACCCCGAGGAAAAGAAAUCAACCGAGAUUCCCCCAGUAGCGGCGAGCGAACGGGGAGGAGCCCAGAGCCUGAAUCAGCAUGUGUGUUAGUGGAAGCGUCUGGAAAGGCGCGCGAUACAGGGUGACAGCCCCGUACACAAAAGCGCAUGUGCUGUGAGCUCGAUGAGUAGGGCGGGACACGUGGUAUCCUGUCUGAAUAUGGGGGGGACCAUCCUCCAAGGCUAAAUACUCCUGACUGACCGAUAGUGAACCAGUACCGUGAGGGAAAGGCGAAAAGAACCCCGGCGAGGGGAGUGAAAAAGAACCUGAAACCGUGUACGUACAAGCAGUGGGAGCACAGGUUUACCUGUGUGACUGCGUACCUUUUGUAUAAUGGGUCAGCGACUUAUAUUCUGUAGCAAGGUUAACCGCAUAGGGGAGCCGGAGGGAAACCGAGUCUUAAUUGGGCGUUAAGUUGCAGGGUAUAGACCCGAAACCCGGUGAUCUAGCCAUGGGCAGGUUGAAGGUUGGGUAACACUAACUGGAGGACCGAACCGACUAAUGUUGAAAAAUUAGCGGAUGACCUGUGGCUGGGGGUGAAAGGCCAAUCAAACCGGGAGAUAGCUGGUUCUCCCCGAAAGCUAUUUAGGUAGCGCCUCGUGAAUUCAUCUCCGGGGGUAGAGCACUGUUUCGGCUAGGGGGCCAUCCCGGCUUACCAACCCGAUGCAAACUGCGAAUACCGGAGAAUGUUAUCACGGGAGACACACGGCGGGUGCUAACGUCCGUCGUGAAGAGGGAAACAACCCAGACCGCCAGCUAAGGUCCCAAAGUCAUGGUUAAGUGGGAAACGAUGUGGGAAGGCCCAGACAGCCAGGAUGUUGGCUUAGAAGCAGCCAUCAUUUAAAGAAAGCGUAAUAGCUCACUGGUCGAGUCGGCCUGCGCGGAAGAUGUAACGGGGCUAAACCAUGCACCGAAGCUGCGGCAGCGAACGUAUCACUUAAAGCGAUUCAGCGGGUUACGAUUGACGGAGCGAAGCGACGUCAAAGCGUAUACAAAGUCGAGUCGGUUUAAGGAUACGUUCGUUGGGUAGGGGAGCGUUCUGUAAGCCUGCGAAGGUGGCCUGUGAGGGUUGCUGGAGGUAUCAGAAGUGCGAAUGCUGACAUAAGUAACGAUAAAGCGGGUGAAAAGCCCGCUCGCCGGAAGACCAAGGGUUCCUGUCCAACGUUAAUCGGGGCAGGGUGAGUCGACCCCUAAGGCGAGGCCGAAAGGCGUAGUCGAUGGGAAACGGGUUAAUAUUCCCGUACUUGGUGUUACUGCGAAGGGGGGACGGAGAAGGCUAUGUUGGCCGGGCGACGGUUGUCCCGGUUUAAGCGUGUAGGUGUGUGUUCCAGGUAAAUCCGGUUCACUUUAACACUGAGGCGUGAUGACGAGGCACUACGGUGCUGAAGCAACAAAUGCCCUGCUUCCAGGAAAAGCCUCUAAGCAUCAGGUAACAUCAAAUCGUACCCCAAACCGACACAGGUGGUCAGGUAGAGAAUACCAAGGCGCUUGAGA